rnacentral:lncRNA from 1 species
AAAACUAAUUCUAGUUGAUUUGAUUAACCUUGUUUUCAAGUAGUUCUAAAGUGUUUGAAUUGUACAAGCCCAAUUUUGCCCGGGCCCAGUACACUCAAAGCAGACCAAGACCAAACCAAAAAAACCUAACUCAAUUACAAUUCAGCCCACUAUUCAACCAAACAAACAACCCAAUUACAAAUAAAUAAAAUACCCCAGCCCAAACAACAACCCAAGCCCAAACCUAACCCUAGUAGCCCAAAACCCACAAACUUAAAAAAAAUUUCAGCAAAAAAAAACCUAGCCACAUGUAGCUGCUGCCUUCCAGCCUACGCAUGGCCUCCUCGCAUGCCCGCCGCCACUGCUCGCCAAUCGUUGGCCCUCCACGCGUGUCAGACCUCCUGCAAGAAAAAGAAAACAAAAGAAAAACAAACAAUAACAGUAGACAAAGAAGAAAAAACAAAAAGAAAUAGACAAAAGAAAAUAAUGGCGAAUAGCCUAGGUUCGGCUAUAAGAGCCGAAAAUGAAACUGUUGACACCAUUUUUUUGUUAAAAAAGGGUCGACUUAGGUUUUGAAAAAUGAAAACGAAUGUGGGAG